rnacentral:rRNA from 1 species
AUUGAACGCUGGCGGCAGGCCUAACACAUGCAAGUCGGGCGAGAGGCGGACGGGUGAGUGAUGUAUGGGGAUCUGCCUGAUCGCGGGGGAUAACUACGGGAAACGGUAGCUACUACCGCAUACCAUCCGAUGAACCCUUAUUGGAUUAGCUAGUAGGUGAGGUAACGGCGUACCUAGGCGACGAUCCCUAGCUGGUCUGAGAGGAUGAUCGGCCACACUGGGACUGAGACACGGCCCAGACUCCUACGGGAGGCAGCAGUGGGGAAUAUUGCACAAUGGGCGAAAGCCUGAUGCAGCCAUGCCGCGUGUGUGAAGAAGGUCUUCGGGUUGUAAAGUACUUUUGGUAGGGAGGCGGUAUCGAAAGAAGAAGCACCGGCUAACUCCGCGCCAGCAGCCGCGGUAAUAC